CCGCUGUAUUAUCAACGUUAUGAUCUUGUUUAUUUUGUGUAUACAGAUACGCAAUAAUGUGAAUGGUUUCAUAAUACGUUGUCCAGCAUAUAUGGAAUAUGAUAAGGACACAAAUUCAUGUGAAUGUAUAAAAGGAUAUAAAUGGAGCGAGGAAGUUCAAAAAUGUGUUAAAGAUAGUACUGGUUGCUGCUUGCCGGGUGCACCUGGG